rnacentral:rRNA from 1 species
AACUCCGGGAAACCGGGGCUAAUGCCGGAUGGUUGUUUUAACCGCAUGGGUUCAAACAUAAAAAGGUGGCUUCGGCUACCACUUACAGAUGGACCCGCGGCGCAUUAGCUAGUUGGUGAGGUAACGGCUCACCAAGCGACGAUGCGUAGCCGACCUGAGAGGGUGAUCGGCCACACUGGGACUGAGACACGGCCCAGACUCCUACGGGAGGCAGCAGUAGGGAAUUUUCCGCAAUGGACGAAAGUCUGACGGAGCAACGCCGCGUGAGUGAUGAAGGUUUUCGGAUCGUAAAGCUCUGUUGUUAGGGAAGAACAAGUACCGUUCGAAUAGGGCGGUACCUUGACGGUACCUAACCAGAAAGCCACGGCUAACUACGUGCCAGCAGCCGCGGUAAUACGUAGGUGGCAAGCGUUGUCCGGAAUUAUUGGGCGUAAAGGGCUCGCAGGCGGUUUCUUAAGUCUGAUGUGAAAGCCCCCGGCUCAACCGGGGAGGGUCAUUGGAAACUGGGGAACUUGAGUGCAGAAGAGGAGAGUGGAAUUCCACGUGUAGCGGUGAAAUGCGUAGAGAUGUGGAGGAACACCAGUGGCGAAGGCGACUCUCUGGUCUGUAACUGACGCUGAGGAGCGAAAGCGUGGGGAGCGAACAGGAUUAGAUACCCUGGUAGUCCACGCCGUAAACGAUGAGUGCUAAGUGUUAGGGGGUUUCCGCCCCUUAGUGCUGCAGCUAACGCAUUAAGCA